GACGAACGCUGGCGGCGUGCUUAACACAUGCAAGUCGAACGGAAAGGCCCUGCUUUUGUGGGGUGCUCGAGUGGCGAACGGGUGAGUAACACGUGAGUAACCUGCCCUUGACUUUGGGAUAACUUCAGGAAACUGGGGCUAAUACCGGAUAGGAGCUCCUGCUGCAUGGUGGGGGUUGGAAAGUUUCGGCGGUUGGGGAUGGACUCGCGGCUUAUCAGCUUGUUGGUGGGGUAGUGGCUUACCAAGGCUUUGACGGGUAGCCGGCCUGAGAGGGUGGCCGGCCACAUUGGGACUGAGAUACGGCCCAGACUCCUACGGGAGGCAGCAGUGGGGAAUAUUGCACAAUGGGCGGAAGCCUGAUGCAGCAACGCCGCGUGCGGGAUGACGGCCUCCGGGUUGUAAACCGCUUUCGCCUGUGACGAAGCGUGAGUGACGGUAAUGGGUAAAGAAGCACCGGCUAACUACGU
rnacentral:rRNA from 1 species